GUGGGGAAUAUUGCGCAAUGGGGGAAACCCUGACGCAGCGACGCCGCGUGAAGGAAGAAGGUCUUCGGAUUGUAAACUUCUUUAAUCGGGGACGAAGGAAGUGACGGUACCCGAGAAAAAAGCCACGGCUAACUACGUGCCAGCAGCCGCGGUAAUACGUAGGUGGCGAGCGUUGUCCGGAAUUACUGGGUGUAAAGGGCGCGUAGGCGGGUAUGCAAGUCAGAUGUGAAACCCCGAGGCUCAACCUUGGGCUUGCAUCUGAAACUGUAUAUCUUGAGUGUUGGAGAGGGAAGUGGAAUUCCUAGUGUAGCGGUGAAAUGCGUAGAGAUUAGGAGGAACACCAGUGGCGAAGGCGACUUCCUGGCCAAUAACUGACGCUGAGGCGCGAAAGCGUGGGGAGCAAACAGGAUUAGAAACCCUAGUAGUCC
rnacentral:rRNA from 1 species